rnacentral:rRNA from 1 species
UACGAGGGGGGCGAGCGUUGUUCGGAAUUAUUGGGCGUAAAGGGUGCGUAGGCGGUUUGGUAAGUCUGAUGUGAAAUCUAUGGGCUCAACUCAUAGUCUGCAUCGGAAACUGCCGGGCUUGAGUGUGGGAGAGGUGAGUGGAAUUCCUGGUGUAGCGGUGAAAUGCGUAGAUAUCAGGAGGAAUACCGAUGGCGAAGGCAGGUCUCUGGGCUGACACUGACGGCUCAUGCACGAAAGCCGUGGGGAGCAAACAGG